rnacentral:rRNA from 1 species
UGAGCGGAGAUAUAUGGAGCUUGCUUUAUAUAACUUAGCAGCGAACGGGUGAGUAACACGUAGAUAAUCUAUCCUAUACUGGGGGAUAGCCCGAUGAAAGUUGGAUUAAUACCGCAUAUAGCUAUAUAGUUGCAUGAUUAUGUAGUGAAAGAUUUAUUGGUAUAGGAGGAGUCUGCGGCACAUUAGCUAGUAGGUGAGGUAAAGGCUUACCUAGGCGACGAUGUGUAGCCGGUCUGAGAGGAUGAACGGCCACAAUGGAACUGAGACACGGUCCAUACUCCUACGGGAGGCAGCAGUGGGGAAUAUUGCACAAUGGGGGAAACCCUGAUGCAGCAACGCCGCGUGAGUGAAGAAGGUUUUCGGAUUGUAAAGCUCUGUUAGCAGGGAAGAGGAAGGACGGUACCUGCAGAGGAAGCCACGGCUAACUACGUGCCAGCAGCCGCGGUAAUACGUAGGUGGCAAGCGUUGUUCGGAAUAACUGGGCGUAAAGGAUGCGUAGGCGGUUAAACAAGUUAUAAGUUAAAUAUAUAGGCUUAACCUGUAGAAAGCAUAUAAAACUGUUUAACUAGAGUGCAGGAGAGGUAAGUGGAAUUCCUAGUGUAGCGGUGAAAUGCGUAGAGAUUAGGAAGAACACCAGUGGCGAAGGCGACUUACUGGACUGUAACUGACGCUGAGGCAUGAGAGCAUGGGGAGCAAACAGGAUUAGAUACCCUGGUAGUCCAUGCUGUAAACGAUGGGUACUAGGUGUGGGUUGUGAAU